rnacentral:rRNA from 1 species
CAGGCGCACCCAGAAACCCUUUGUGAACUUAUACCUUACUGUUGCCUCGGCGCAUGCCGGCCCCCAGGGGCCCCUCGGAGACGAGGAGCAGGCACGCCGGCGGCCAAGUUAACUCUUGUUUUUACACUGAAACUCUGAGAAAAAAAAAAAAAAAAAAUGAAUCAAAACUUUCAACAACGGAUCUCUUGGUUCUGGCAUCGAUGAAGAACGCAGCGAAAUGCGAUAAGUAAUGUGAAUUGCAGAAUUCAGUGAAUCAUCGAAUCUUUGAACGCACAUUGCGCCCUCCGGUAUUCCGGAGGGCAUGCCUGUUCGAGCGUCAUUUCAACCCUCAAGCACUGCUUGGUGUUGGGGCACUGCUCCUCUCGCGGGGAGCAGGCCCUGAAAUUCAGUGGCGAGCUCGCCAGGACCCCGAGCGCAGUAGUUAAACCCUCGCUCUGGAAGGCCCUGGCGGUGCCCUGCCGUUAAACCCCCAACUCUUGAAAAUUUGACCUCGGAUCAGGUA